GAUGAACGCUGGCGGCGUGCCUAAUACAUGCAAGUCGAGCGAAGCGGGGACGCGUGAGUAACACGUGGAUAACCUCCUAUCCGUCUGGGAUAACUUCGGGAACCCGGAGCUAAAACGGCUUCUUAUAGAUGGAUCCGUGAUGAAUUAGCUAGUUGGUAAGGUAACGGCUUACCAAGGCAACGCUGCAUAGCCGAACUGAGAGGGGGAGCGGCAACACUGGAACGGAGAAAAGGUACAGACGCAUACGGGAGGCAGCAGUAGGGAAUCGUCCGCAAUGGGCGAAAGCCUGAUGGAGCAACGCCGAGUGAGUGAGGAAGGGCUUCGGAUCGUAAAACUCUGUUAUUAGGGAAGCGGUACCUAAUCAGAAAGCCACGGCUAACUACGUGCCAGCAGCCGCGGUAAUUC
rnacentral:rRNA from 1 species